GACGAACGCUGGCGGCGUGCUUAACACAUGCAAGUCGAACGGAGAGGCCCUUCUGUGGGGGGCUGCGCGGGUGGCGAGCGUGAGAGUAGCACGAGAGUAACCUGCCCUUGAGUUUGGGAUAACUUCAUGGAGCUGAGACUAGUACCUGAUAGCAUCUCGUGCUGCAUGGGGUGGGUUGGGAAGUUUGGUCGGGUGGGGAUGGACUCGCGGCUUAUCAGCUUGUUGGUGGGGUAGUGGCCUACCAAGGCUGUGACGGGUAGCCGGCCUGAGAGGGUGACCGGCCACACUGGGACUGAGACACGGCCCAGACUCCUACGGGAGGCAGCAGUGGGGAAUAUUGCGCAAUGGGCGGAAGCCUGACGCAGCGACGCCGCGUGCGGGAUGACGGCCUUCGGGUUGUAAACCGCUUUCGGCUGUGACGAAGCGCGAGUGACGGUACCGGGUAAAGAAGCACCGGCCAACUACGUG
rnacentral:rRNA from 1 species